AUGUGAUUAACAGUGAUCCAAAUCAUGAAAGACAAUGUACUUUGGUGGGAAGGAAAGUGGCACAAGCACCCGAACACAUAAAAGAGAAGUUCAGAGCUAAUUUUGCAACAUGGAAUAACAUGCCCCUAGCACUUAAAAAAAGCCUCCGGGAAGCACUGAACAUGGAUGGAAGCAGUAGCAGUAAGGCCAAAAAUAAAAAAAAGAAGUAAACAUCUAAAUUGACAAUUAUGUUAAAUGCUGAUUUGAAAUGUUGUUCAUUCAAAAUUGGAAAAUUUCACAAUUCUGUAAAAUGAAAAGAAUAAAGGUUCAUACAAAUAUAGGAUGAUUCAUUUCUGAAAAUACAA